AUUGAACGCUGGCGGCAGGCCUAACACAUGCAAGUCGAGCGGAGCGGCGGACGGGUGAGUAAUGCCUAGUAAUCUGCCUGGUAGUGGGGGAUCACGCCCGGAAACGGGCGCUAAUACCGCAUGCUAUCAGAUGAGCCUAGGUGGGAUUAGCUAGUUGGUGGGGUAAAGGCUUACCAAGGUGACGAUCCGUAACUGGUCUGAGAGGAUGAUCAGUCACACUGGAACUGAGACACGGUCCAGACUCCUACGGGAGGCAGCAGUAGGGAAUAUUGCGCAAUGGGCGAAAGCCUGAUGCAGCCAUGCCGCGUGUAUGAAGAAGGCCUUCGGGUUGUAAAGUACUUUCAGCGGGGAGGCGUUACCCGAAGAAGAAGCACCGGCUAACUCCGUGCCAGCAGCCGCGGUAAUUC
rnacentral:rRNA from 1 species